AUCUGAGUUUCUGACCUGUACAUUUUCAUUCUCUCUGAGGAAUGUCUUUCAACAUUUCUUGCAAGUCUUUGGGAACCAGCCUGCACAUAAGAUGCAUGCCUUAGCAUUUGCUCUUCUGCCAAGGACGAAGCAGCCUGUUCCGUGGGGUUUCCUCAUCGUUUUAAUAGAGGGGUGGAUUUUGAAAAUUUCUUCUGACAUUCUGAAGAGCUUCUUCUGUGGUCAUUUUUUUAUGAAGUAAUUAGAAACUGAGAUACUUCUCCAGAAUAAAUUGUUGGCUUUUGGGAUAGUGGAAUGGAAGAAUGGAAGAAUCCAUUACAGCAAGUGAUUCCUGAGGAUGCCAGAACCUCCCUUUUAUGAAGCCUUCUUCUUCUUCCAUCUGACUUUAUCUCUACAAGGAUAGAACAGAUGAGCUAAACUGUACCCAUCAGCGCCCAAGGCCUUGCUCACCUUCUCCAGGCACUAGAACCUGCUGGGCUUGAGAGAGGUAAAGUAGAGAGAUUACAGUUGAUGGACAGAGCAUUAAAAUAUUUUAACAGCCAUCUUAUCUUUCAUUUAGAAAAAAUUAUGACUACUUUCAGUUUGCAUAAACAUAUAGUGAAUACUCUCUAUUAAGUUGUCUACCUGGCUUAUUUUAUUUUUAGAUAUUCUGAAAUAAAGCAGAUUUUACGCAUUGCAAUAGGGGACAAAAACUAUUUUAAAUAAUAUCUUUUUUCAGAAAGUUAACUGCUGCAGUUCUUUGAAAGAAGAUAUUACAAGCAACUCAUUAGAAUGCUGAAUAGAGGACUAAUAAUUAUUUAUAAUGGAGGCCAUGUUGAGAUACUUCCUUGAAUUUUUUCUGAAAGCAAUGUUGGUAGAAUUCUUAUUAGGAAUAUGCUUUCUAUGAGACUUUAAUAGUAGUUCUAUUUUUAUCUGGGAAGAAAUGAACCUUACAAUACUAAUUUUCUCAGUUAACAGGGUUCCUUCUCCUAAAUAAGCCCAAUUCUUUAAUUUAGGAUGGGUAGCAGCUUUCCUUAGUCUUUGUGGAAAAGUGCACUUACAUUACAGAUGGGAAGAAAAAUUAAAGUAAGAUAUGAUUUUAACCUUUCUUUAGGAAUUGAGGAAAUCUAUUCUUAAUUUUCUUCAGUACCUAAUUUUGGAUGUUGUUUUUGCAAAAUCAAGGCUUUUUAAAUUACUCAUCAGGUUUUUUCUAGGAUCUGUAACUUCGUGGAAAAGAACACAGAUUUUUAAAAAUGCACUAGAAAACAUAAACAAGGGAUAUAUUUUCAUAGAUUUAGUAAGAACUUCAUUAUAUGCCUACUCUGUGCUAGGCACAGGUCUAAUAACAAGAAAAUCUGCAGUGGGCAAGACACAUGAAGUACCAGCCUUCAGUCAGCUUAAAUUUGCAUUUAUGGAAAAGAUAAUGAAUAAAUGUUAAUGAUGCUAAUACAUGUAUAGCAAGAGUAAAGAUAUAUAUAUUUAUGUAUGUAUUUUUUUAAAGGAAAUGAUUGAUUUGAAUUUGAAAUUUGUUAUACUUACAUGAAGUAUUCACUCAUAAUUUUAUCUCUUCUUUAUAUGUGAUGAUUGUGUAUUUUCUUUGUUAUUCUUGUACUUGUCUACUUUUUCUCUCUCUAAUUUUUAAAGAAUUGAUCGAUUUCUUUGUCUAUAUUACUGCAUUUCUCAAAAACAUAUAGUAUGAGUUGGUGGAAGUUGUCUCCCUGGUUAGGAGAAGAAGUUUAUUAUUAAGUUGUAUAUAAUUGUCAGAACACAGUUUUAAUAAUAAAAAAAGAACAACUUUUAAAACA